UUGAAGCCAAAAUCUUAGAAUCACUUUGCUGAUAUCGAUAAAACAAAACAAGCAUGCAAAAAAAGAAUAAAAUUUUUACUUUCACCAACAAGGAUGAAAUGGCACAUUGGUGUUCUCCAUGAGACUCCAAAGUAGAAGCCCUCCAACGGUGAUCCAUGCGGAAGUUAGCCAAGAUCUUUCCUAAUCGGUGCGCUGCAGCAGCCUUUUCUUCUCAAGAACACUACCGGCUUCGAACUCUAAGAACGAUCACACCAAAGCCCAGUUACUUUCGAUCUUGCCACCAGAAUGAUACCAAGA
rnacentral:lncRNA from 1 species